UUGACAGCCCUGGAGUUUGAAGUCCUCUAGUUAUCCCCAGAACAUUUACAACAGGAGGAGUGCUCGUGCCAGCUUCCUCCAUCGCCAUGCCUCAACCUUGCCCAGGAGGAGAGACCAUUUCUAGGAGUCAGAUGACCAUGCACCCUCCAUGGACCAUGCAGUUGUUGGUCUCU
rnacentral:sRNA from 1 species